UUAUGGUCAUAUCACAUUGAAACAUUGGUUCUCGUACGAUCCCCGAAGUUAAGCAACGUCAAGCCUGGUCAAUACCCAGAUGGGUGACCGCUUAGGAAUACCAGGUACUGUCAG